rnacentral:rRNA from 1 species
AGAGUUUGAUCCUGGCUCAGGAUGAACGCUGGCGGCGUGCCUAAUACAUGCAAGUCGAGCGAACAGAUAAGGAGCUUGCUCCUUUGACGUUAGCGGCGGACGGGUGAGUAACACGUGGAUAACCUACCUAUAAGACUGGGAUAACUUCGGGAAACCGGAGCUAAUACCGGAUAACAUAUUGAACCGCAUGGUUCAAUAGUGAAAGGCGGCUUUGCUGUCACUUAUAGAUGGAUCCGCGCCGUAUUAGCUAGUUGGUAAGGUAACGGCUUACCAAGGCAACGAUACGUAGCCGACCUGAGAGGGUGAUCGGCCACACUGGAACUGAGACACGGUCCAGACUCCUACGGGAGGCAGCAGUAGGGAAUCUUCCGCAAUGGGCGAAAGCCUGACGGAGCAACGCCGCGUGAGUGAUGAAGGUCUUCGGAUCGUAAAACUCUGUUAUCAGGGAAGAACAAAUGUGUAAGUAACUGUGCACAUCUUGACGGUACCUGAUCAGAAAGCCACGGCUAACUACGUGCCAGCAGCCGCGGUAAUACGUAGGUGGCAAGCGUUAUCCGGAAUUAUUGGGCGUAAAGCGCGCGUAGGCGGUUUUUUAAGUCUGAUGUGAAAGCCCACGGCUCAACCGUGGAGGGUCAUUGGAAACUGGAAAACUUGAGUGCAGAAGAGGAAAGUGGAAUUCCAUGUGUAGCGGUGAAAUGCGCAGAGAUAUGGAGGAACACCAGUGGCGAAGGCGACUUUCUGGUCUGUAACUGACGCUGAUGUGCGAAAGCGUGGGGAUCAAACAGGAUUAGAUACCCUGGUAGUCCACGCCGUAAACGAUGAGUGCUAAGUGUUAGGGGGUUUCCGCCCCUUAGUGCUGCAGCUAACGCAUUAAGCACUCCGCCUGGGGAGUACGACCGCAAGGUGGAAACUCAAAGGAAUUGACGG